rnacentral:rRNA from 1 species
ACUCCUACGGGAGGCAGCAGUGGGGAAUAUUGCACAAUGGGCGCAAGCCUGAUGCAGCCAUGCCGCGUGUAUGAAGAAGGCCUUCGGGUUGUAAAGUACUUUCAGCAGUGAGGAAGGUGGGUAUGUUAAUAGCAUACACAUUUGACGUUAGCUGCAGAAGAAACCCCGGCUAACUCCGUGCCAGCAGCCGCGGUAAUACGGAGGGGGUUAGCGUUGUUCGGAAUUACUGGGCGUAAAGCGCACGUAGGCGGAUCGGAAAGUUGGGGUGAAAUCCCGGGGCUCAACCCCGGAACGGCCUCCAAAACUAUCGGUCUAGAGUUCGAGAGAGGUGAGUGGAAUUCCGAGUGUAGAGGUGAAAUUCGUAGAUAUUCGGAGGAACACCAGUGGCGAAGGCGGCUCACUGGCUCGAUACUGACGCUGAGGUGCGAAAGUGUGGGAGCAAACAGGAUUAGAUACCCUGGUAGACUGUCAU